AUUGAACGCUGGCGGCAUGCCUUACACAUGCAAGUCGAACGGCAGCACGGGUGCUUGCACCUGGUGGCGAGUGGUGAACGGGUGAGUAAUACAUCGGAACAUGUCCUGUAGUGGGGGAUAGCCCGGCGAAAGCCGGAUUAAUACCGCAUACGAUCUACGGAUGAAAGCGGGGGACCUUCGGGCCUCGCGCUAUAGGGUUGGCCGAUGGCUGAUUAGCUAGUUGGUGGGGUAAAGGCCUACCAAGGCGACGAUCAGUAGCUGGUCUGAGAGGACGACCAGCCACACUGGGACUGAGACACGGCCCAGACUCCUACGGGAGGGAGCAGUGGGGAAUUUUGGACAAUGGGCGAAAGCCUGAUCCAGCAAUGCCGCGUGUGUGAAGAAGGCCUUCGGGUUGUAAAGCACUUUUGUCCGGAAAGAAAUCCUUGGCUCUAAUACAGUCGGGGGAUGACGGUACCGGAAGAAUAAGCACCGGCUAACUACGUG
rnacentral:rRNA from 1 species